AAGAAAAUCCUCUUUUGAGUUACACAGCAAGGCCACAAAGCAGCCCUUCCGUGAAGCCUUGCACAGGUGAAAGAAGCAUUCUGACAUUAAGGUACCUUCCGGAAAUUCGGACGCUAACACUGGUUAACUCACAUGUGAUUUUGGAAUCGAUUUUUCAAAAUAACAUUUUUCUUUAUCAUUCUCAUUAUGUGCGCACAGAACCUUCUAUGAUUUUGUGCUCACAAAACUCUGCCUUUUGCAUCAUUUGAGGUUUAGGCAUUUUACCUGUACUUUUUGUUGGGUGAGGGGUGGCGUUCUUUAUUGAAGCCAAGACUUACGCAUGCUAAGCAAGUGUCCUACGUCAAAAAGUAUUUCUCAAACGUACAUCAAUCACUCAACUGGUUUUUUUUUUAUAGCCACUCAUCUUUUAAACAAAUUGUGUGUGUGUGUGUGUGUGUGUGUGUGUUUGCGCAAACACCCUACUUCUGUGCUAUAUCCCCAGCCCAGCCCACACACUUUUAGAAAAGUCAGGUUCUCUCACUACACGAAAACAUCCAUUGAUGCAGAAUUAUUGUGUCUCUCCCACUGGGUUUUCUUUGCUGAAGAUGGCCAGGACAUAGGAGGCACUGAAGUGAGCAACUCAGAGUGUGUAAAUGAACAAAUGACAAGCUUUAGCAUUUCUGUUCUUCUCAAGAAGUUUCAGAGUUGGUUUCUCUGGGUUUGUUUUUUUUUUAACCUCCUUUCCCCUUUUAUUUUUUUCAAAUUUUGCUGAUUAGAUUUUAUCGUCUUUAAAACUAAUGUCUGAUCAAAGUAAAAGAAAUCAUACAAAGAAUAAAGUAAUAUUGUGUACACUACUGUGAGUAAGAAACUGGAGUGUGGGU